rnacentral:tRNA from 1 species
GGGGUUGUGGCUCAGCGGUAGAGCACUUGCCUCACACAUGCAAGACCCUGGGUUCGAUCCUCAGCACCACA